rnacentral:rRNA from 1 species
UACAGAGGGGGCCAGCGUUAUUCAGAAUUAUUGGGCGUAAAGGGCGCGUAGGCGGCUUUGCGUGUCUUUCGUGAAAUCCCUCGGCUCAACUGAGGACGUGCGGAAGAAACUGCAGGGCUGGAGUCCGGGAGAGGAGGGUGGAAUUCCCAGUGUAGCGGUGAAAUGCGUAGAUAUUGGGAGGAACACCGGUGGCGAAGGCGGCCCUCUGGACCGGUACUGACGCUGAUGCGCGAAAGCGUGGGGAGCAAACGGG